rnacentral:lncRNA from 1 species
UGUAAUCUGCUCACGACGGCGGCGGUGGCGGUGAUUUCAGAUCAACGGAAUCGCGUUCUCGCUGGACUCUUCGCAAGUCCACGGCCAGUCUUCGCAGCCCUCUGAAGCGUUACGGACGCGUUGAGAAGUCGGAAGUGGUCAUUGCGUGCGUUUAGUGGUUUGGCCAGAUUUUUCCUAACUAAAUUUAUGUUGGUCAGAUGAUGGGUUUGGCCUUUUUUGGGUUUUUGAGGGAUAUGGUGAAGUGAUUGAGGGCGACGUCGAGUUACCCAGUCGAGCCAACCUCAUUUGUCUAGGGCAAAGUGGUCGGAGUGUAUUCUGUGGCAAGUGUGAGGAUAUAUUCCCGGAAGUGCGAGAGCUCAUCGGAGCUCCGGAAGACGCCUUUUGGCGAGGUUGAGGUUGAGGGUGGCAAGGGCGCAAGGAUGGACGGGAGGAAAACUUUUGCGUUAUCCUUAAACACGAACUCGCCGACCGUACCGGAAUCAAUCGGCAGCUGAACGUCGUGAAGGUCGUACACGCGUGGCUUCGUCCUCUCCGUGCGUAAGUUUCGGUUUGUUCGGGAAGUCCUUGCCCAGGAAAGAACUCGGCGAGGAGCAGUAGUGGAGUGGUGUUUGAACUUCGCCACCGGAAUCCUGUUCUAGUUGGGGGAUUGAACGCCCCUUACGUGAGUGCGUGCUUCGAGGAGUGGCGCCCAGUUGUUGCUGCUGAUGAUUUCCGAUUCGUAUUCGUAUUUGAAGGGCGGUUGGGUGUCAGCAAAGUGUGUUUCUUCUCUCUCAUUUGGGGGUGUUUAAUUAUGUAUCUUGUGGUCUGCAAUGGACGGCGGUGGGAUUUCGUCGAACCAUUAAGCUAGAAGAAUAUGAAGAAAAAGUGCCAAAGUGCUGAUAAUUUCGUGAAUUGAUUCCAAGGCCCUAAGGCUUCGAGUUGGGACAGAUGGAAGUACGAUUCCAAUCUCACCAAUGAAAGAAAACUGUUAAUAAAUUAGAGGUAGCCGUUGGGGAGGAAGUAAUCAGCACAAUCAACUAGUUUCAAGUGAUGGGAAAAAAUCCGAGGAAACCAAAGGAAAAGUUUUUAAUUAGCAAUUAAAAAGACUCCACCCAGGAGUGCAAGUUGGACGGUAGACAGAGGAAAAAAAAUCGAAACUCUGAUUCCGAUCGAGAAAAGUCCCCGUGUCGGCGUUCACCGGUGAAGAAUAAAUCACAUAUACUCAACGGCGUCAGAAAAGCGGGUGACACAUCGCAGAGGAAAAUUAUCGUUGAAGAUUUUCGGCCGUAAAAAUCCUAGAACUCCGAGUGUGAAUAACUUAUCGUAACCCUUCUGGGAAAGACGUUCAACAAAAACCGAGACUUAUCGUGACCAACCGCCACUAAUUGGCCCGAAUUGGAGGCCAGAUUUGAGUUAAUGAAAACGAACCUACGGUGGUUAAGUGCGCCAGCAGCAAAAUAAGAAAAAGUUCGCGUCGGAAAUUGAACCAAAGCAGAAGUUAAUUACAUCGUUUCCACCAGAGCCAGAACUCCAAGAACCGGGUCGUGUAUAAAGCAAAAAAAAAAACGUUAUAAUCAAAAGAAAAUAUCAUCGUCGGGGCUGCUGUUCUUGUUUUUCCUGAUAGCUGCCACCCCUCCCCCAAACACUCAAAGGAAACAAAAUGAGGAAAAUGAUCAAACACGUGCUUUCCCAGCGGGCAAAAAUGAAAUAAACGCGUAAAUAAAACACAAACCUCUCAAUAAAGGCAAAAAAAAUCGAUCCAUUGGAUGCGUACCACUCAAAACGGCGCGGUGCGAUAUCUUCAGGCGGCAAAAAUAACGGACGGUGUAGACAAACCGACAAUCGAGAAGCGCCGCCACCGUCGGCAAAAUAAAUAGAAUCACAAGGAAAAGUUGUUUGUGAGAAGACGCCACGUGUCUCAAAGGGGACGACAUUGGACGAUGGCGAUGGAGGUGAUCUCAGUGUAACAAGUUAAAAACAGGUGUUCCGUUGCUUUCCGUCUGGGGAGUGUUACAUUCCGGUUGAAGAAGGUCAACAAUUCGGAAGUGGUACAGAAUUGAUACGGAUUUCGUUGAAUGCGUGUUGGGCGGCUCAAACGGAAGUGGUAACGAGUAAAAGGCUGGAUAGUGUAGUACUUACAUGUGUUCUUUCGUAUUCGGCCCUCCUGUGGAGAUAAGUGGGGAAAAUAGUGUUCGUUAUUCGAAGAACGCCCUCCAUGGCAGGAGACCGUCGAGCAGUGGAGAAACUAGCAACUAGAUUGCGUGCUCCACAAACGGCAG